ACGUGAGACGAGAGUGUCAUAAAAGCGACACAAAAUGACAUGGUUACUUCAGUAAAUGUGCGUUUCAUGUCAAAUUUGUUUUUAAAACACUAUCAAUUAGGUUUAGGUGUUGGUUAAGGGUAAGGAUAUCUGUUUUGUUCACCUCUCAUUUAUCUUUUUGAACACUAUUGGUUAGGUUUAGAUGUUGGUAAAGGGUAAGGAUAUCUGUUUUGUUCACCUCUCAUUUAUCUUUUUGAACACUAUUGGUUAGGUUUAGAUGUUGGUAAAGGGUAAGGAUAUCUGUUUUGUUCACCUCUCAUUUAUCUUUUUGAACACUAUCGAUUAGGUUUAGGUGUUGGUAAAGGGUAAGGAUAUCUGUUUUGUUCACCUUUCAUUUAUCUUUUUGAACACUAUUGGUUAGGUUUAGGUGUUGGUAAAGGGUAAGGAUAUCUGUUUUGUUCACCUUUCAUUUAUCUUUUUGAACACUAUUGGUUAGGUUUAGGUGUUGGUAAAGGGUAAGGAUAUCUGUUUUGUUCACCUUUCAUUUAUCUUUUUGAACACUAUUGGUUAGGUUUAGGUGUUGGUAAAGGGUAAGGAUAUCUGUUUUGUUCACCUUUCAUUUAUCUUUUUGAACACUAUUGGUUAGGUUUAGGUGUUGGUAAAGGGUAAGGAUAUCUGUUUUGUUCACCUUUCAUUUAUCUUUUUGAACACUAUUGGUUAGGUUUAGGUGUUGGUAAAGGGUAAGGAUAUCUGUUUUGUUCACCUCUCAUUUAUCUUUUUGAACACUAUCGAUUAGGUUUAGGUGUUGGUAAAGGGUAAGGAUAUCUGUUUUGUUCACCUUUCAUUUAUCUUUUUGAACACUAUUGGUUAGGUUUAGGUGUUGGUAAAGGGUAAGGAUAUCUGUUUUGUUCACCUUUCAUUUAUCUUUUUGAACACUAUUGGUUAGGUUUAGGUGUUGGUAAAGGGUAAGGAUAUCUGUUUUGUUCACCUCUCAUUUAUCUUUUUGAACACUAUCGAUUAGGUUUAGGUUAACCUGUUUUUUUUUUUUACAUUAAAAGUAAUGAUAUAAAAGUAUAAUCAGAUUACACCCAACACUGAUAAUGAACUAGACCUUUACACAAUUUCCAAAAUGCAGACUUUUGGAAAUAUGACCACUUACUACAUUAUAUUAUCAAAAUGAUAAAAGUUGAUUUAAAAAUUUGUAAAUAAAAAAUGUGCAAUA